UACGGAAGGCAGCAGGGGGAAUAUUGCACAAUGGGCGCAAGCCUGAUGCAGCCAUGCCGCGUGUAUGAAGAAGGCCUUCGGGUUGUAAAGUACUUUCAGUCGUGAGGAAGGUGUUAAGGUUAAUAACCUUAGCAAUUGACGUUAGCGACAGAAGAAGCACCGGCUAACUCCGUGCCAGCAGCCGCGGUAAUACGGAGGGUGCGAGCGUUAAUCGGAAUUACUGGGCGUAAAGGGCACGCAGGCGGUUAAUUAAGUUGGAUGUGAAAUCCCCGGGCUUAACCUGGGAAUGGCAUUCAAGACUGGUUAGCUAGAGUCUUGUAGAGGGGGUAGAAUUCCAUGUGUAGCGGUGAAAUGCGUAGAGAUGUGGAGGAAUACCGGUGGCGAAGGCGGCCCCUGGACAAAGACUGACGCUCAUGUGCGAAAGCGUGGGGAGCAAACAGGGAUUAGAUA
rnacentral:rRNA from 1 species